UGGCGAACGGGUGAGUAAUAUAUCGGAACGUGCCCUAGAGUGGGGGAUACUAGUCGAAAGAUUAGCUAAUACCGCAUACGAUCUACGGAUGAAAGUGGGGGAUCGCAAGACCUCAUGCUCCUGGAGCGGCCGAUAUCUAUUAGCUAGUUGGUGGGGUAAAAGCCUACCAAGGCGACGAUCAGUAGCUGGUCUGAGAGGACGACCAGCCACACUGGGACUGAGACACGGCCCAGACUCCUACGGGAGGCAGCAGUGGGGAAUUUUGGACAAUGGGGGCAACCCUGAUCCAGCAAUGCCGCGUGAGUGAGAAGGCCUUCGGGUUGUAAAGCUCUUUUGUCAGGGAAGAAACGUGGUAGCUAAUAUCUACUACUAAUGACGGUACCUGAAGAAUAAGCACCGGCUAACUACGUGCCAGCAGCCGCGGUAAUACGUAGGGUGCAAGCGUUAAUCGGAAUUACUGGGCGUAAAGCGUGCGCAGGCGGUUGUGUAAGUCAGAUGUGAAAUCCCCGGGCUCAACCUGGGAAUUGCAUUUGAGACUGCACGGCUAGAGUGUGUCAGAGGGGGGUAGAAUUCCACGUGUAGCAGUG
rnacentral:rRNA from 1 species